ensembl:ncRNA F54D5.21 ncRNA
CCCCUUCGGACCUCGCAAUCGACGAUCAGCAUCGAGGCGGUGUCGAGUCUUUGAAGUGGAGAAUUGCGUAGUGUGUCUCCUCUUCUUGGUGCUGCCAGCGUUGACGAUUUGAAUCGCGAUGAUUGCCGCCACAAAUAUAACCGCGACGCGCGGACCGCUUCGC